CCUAGAGUUGUAGGCCUUGCCUGCUAUCUCUUACCCAUGUCUUUUGAGUACUUACGUUUCCUCGGCGGGUCCGCCCGCCGAUUGGACAAUUUAAACCACUUGCAGUUGCAAUCAGCGUCUGAAAAACUUUAAUAGUUA
rnacentral:misc_RNA from 1 species